AAAUUAAAAAGCUAGAAUUUGAGCUAAAAUGAGACACAUGUAAAAAAGAGGGACUCAUAUUGCAAAUAACCCUCUUUUUUAAAUAGUGCCAUUUUGGGGCUAUUAGUAUUAGCCUAAAACGGUGCCACUUAAUCUUCCCCAAAGCAGCAAAAGCAAACCCUAAGUACCCUAAGUAAAUCCCCUAGCUGCUUCAAAAAAAUGAAAAAGAAAAUCAAACUUUUCUCCCCAAUAUUCGGCCGAUUUGAAUACAUUGCCGAUUUCAAAUUCCUUCCACAACUCCGAUCUCAGCGAGGGGAAUAGGGACUUUGAUGGCCGAUUCGCGAAGGUAUGCCCCUCGCUUCUCUCUCAGUUGAUUCGUGGCUUCACCGAUGCCAAACGCGCCUCUACCCGUCGCGGUUCUAACCAGAUCCACAAGGAUCCGUCAACCAAAUCGUCACCAAAAUAGGUACUGGUGCAAGGCGCGUGUACGGGGCUGUGCUGGCUCGGGUACAGAGGUAGCUGGGGUUCGGCUGCAUGAAGGCUGAGCGGCGCCUAGGUUUUUUCUCUAGCUGAAAAAUGUUUAGGGUAAUCGGGCUAGUUGGGCUUUAGGGCAUUUGGGUCUAGGUUUGGGCUUUGGGUCAUGUAUUUAAUUGGGUUUGGGUAGCUUUGAUUUUUGGGCCUGUAAAAACUAGACUCUAAAUAUUUAAGGGACUGUUAUAAUUUUUUUUUUGUAAUUUUGGUUUGGUUGUUGGGCCCAGGCAGAUUUGGCCCAUUACAGUCACCGUUACAAUUAAAAUGUUAAAAUUAAUUGGUUUUUUGUUAACUCUUGGAUUUUUUCUGAAAAUAA